UACGAAGGGGGCUAGCGUUGCUCGGAAUUACUGGGCGUAAAGGGCGCGUAGGCGGAUAUUUAAGUCGGGGGUGAAAGCCCAGGGCUCAACCCUGGAAUUGCCUUCGAUACUGGAUAUCUUGAGUUCGGGAGAGGUGAGUGGAAUGCCGAGUGUAGAGGUGAAAUUCGUAGAUAUUCGGCGGAACACCAGUGGCGAAGGCGACUCACUGGCCCGAUACUGACGCUGAGGUGCGAAAGCGUGGGGAGCAAACAGG
rnacentral:rRNA from 1 species